UAAAAAUCAAAGAAUGUCUAAUUUUUUUUCUCCAAAGGUGGCUGAAUGCUGUGAAAAAACAGCUGUACUGCAUAUUUAGAACGCCUUUGCUGAGCUCCUGCUGCCAGCAUACUAUCCUGCUGCUAGGAGAACGGUAACUGUGUCGCCUACACACACACACACACACACACACACAGGGCUGUAGAAACAGGGAAGUUGUUAUUCAGACCGGUGACGUUGAAGAAAUCCCCUCCCGGUAACCACCCCACAAUCUAUAAAGGCAGAGAUCGGUCCCUAACUAUUAUUAUAUCUCUCAACAACAAUAUAUAGUGUACUCUCUUCUGAUUUAGCUUACUGCUGUCUAGGAGUCACACUGAGCUAUAGCCUACUCACAGCUAUACAGCUAUAAUAGAAGCAGCUAUACAGCUAAACGCAUCCAUGAAGCUCGAAUCAAGAAAAUCCUCACUGAAAAGGACCGAGAGCCAGAAAGAGACCGUACCAAACAAAGAUCAGAAAGCCAUCAUGGAAUGUGCACAACAGCUGCGUAAAAUCGGAGACGUUUUCAACCUGAAACACAUCCUGGCGAAUAUGCGAGCUACAAUCUCAACGGAUCCGAAAAUCAAGUGAAAUGGAUACGGUAGCUGACUUUGAUAAUAAAGUGGAUCGAAAUUGGAUCAUUAUUAUGCCUUAACAGGAAAUGUGUUGCGGUCGUUGCAAUGUGAAGAGUUUGUUACAAUAACGCAAAGCCAAUGUGGACCUCACACGCCCAUGCCCGGAGCUAAGCUACUGUCGGCCGGAGUAUCUUUCUGGACGCUCCUUCAACAGACACUGCCUCCUACACCCUGCGUCCCGGGACGCUGAUGGGUAUUUGGCCAUAGUCUAAGAUAUAUAUAUAUAUAUAUAUAUACCACCGCCCUAUUGGAAUAUUUAGGCCGGGAAAAUGAAGACGGGCCGGGAAGCCGAAACAGAACAUUUGGAGUAAAGAGAAGACAGGAUCGCAAACCAACAUGUAGCCUAAAAUAGAGACUAAAAGAGUAUCUAUCUAACUAUCUGUUAUUAAACGUUUGAUUCUAAUCUUCAGGGUUUUUAUCCUGUCUGUUUUAAGUUUGUUUGGUGAUUUGAUGCUAUUGAAAUUUAACUUUAAGGGAUAGAUAUUUUGCUUAUUGUUUUAAAAUAAUGUCAAUAAAUGUUUUGAUUUA